CUUUUUCAAGUGAGUUGCUUCCUGAAGCAGAACUUGCAGGCUAGGGAUCUCGUUCUAUGCAAAUUUCACGAUCAUAAACUUUCAAGUUUGGCAUUAUUGACAUUAUCCUUUCGAUGGAGAUGGAAAACACCGCCCAGAGAGGCUCAGGAACUAGUCUAAGGCCAUGCAGGUUGCUUCCUGCCUUCGCCUGCUUCUGACCAAGUGAAGAUGAGGGCUACAGCAUGCUCCUGCCGUUGUCUCUGUCAUCACCUCUCAGCCAUGAUGAGCCACACCUCCUGUAACUGUGAGCUGAAAUAAACCCCUCUCUCUUUAGGGUGUGUUGCCAGGCAUUUGGUUGCAGUUAAAUGAAAAGUAGCCAAUCCAGGAUGUUAGAGAGAAGCUCCGUCCCAGAGACAAAUAAAGGGAAUGGCUUAACCCAGACCCCCUGAUGUCUCUCAACUCCAGCCUCUUAUCUCAGAGCCCCUCCCUGGGUGCAUCUUCUGAGACCACGGUUCGUGGCUGUGGAGGAUUAGCUAUGCACCAGACUGUACAAAGCACCAUUCACACGCUGUCCGUUUGAUAGCCCAGCCCAAAGGUCAGCUAGAUCCAUUUCUUUUUUCCAGAUGUGGUCACUAAAGAACCAAGAGGGUUGGCGAUUACCCAGUAGUCCAAGGCUAGGAAGAGAAACAGCGACAACGUUGGGACCCAAGCUCACUAGAUUUCAAAGAGUGAGCUCUUGUCUAUUAAGGUUCAUUCUCUCCUGCAAACGCCUUUAUCCCCCACUGAGCCUGCAGAUCAUCAGCUUGGGCUAGUGACUGCUGAGCUAUCAGGGCUCAAGGAAGGACCUGGGAUUGCAUCCUUCCCAGUGGGGUGGCUGGCCGAUGCUGGGAAGACCUAUCAUGCCUCCUCUCAGUCACCGUGGGUGCCAGGAGGAACGCCAGCCCCAGGACACAGGGCCGGGGAUACCUGUGCUCUCUUUAUCCCAGGAGCUUCCUCAAGGUGCCAUCUGAAGCAAGUCACUUAAACUCUCUCUAAGGCUUAUUUCGCCCAUUACGAAAAUGUAAAUAACUAUCACAGCAUAAGUCACGGGGUUUUACGAGGACUUAAUAGGAUAAUGGACGUGAAAUGCUUUAUAAACUGUAAAGUACCACACAAGCGUGAGGCUUU